rnacentral:rRNA from 1 species
UACGUAGGAGGCAAGCGUUGUCCGGAAUUACUGGGCGUAAAGCGCGUGUAGGUGGUGGGACAAGUCUGCUGUGAAAGUGCCUGGCUUAACCGGGCGAGGUCGGCGGAAACUGUCCGACUCGAGGACGGUAGAGGAAGGUGGAAUUCCUAGUGUAGAGGUGAAAUUCGUAGAUAUUAGGAGGAAUACCGGUGGCGAAGGCGGCCUUCUGGACCAUUUCUGACACUGAGACGCGAAAGCGUGGGGAGCAAACAGG